rnacentral:rRNA from 1 species
AUGAUAAAGGGGGUGAUGUCCGUGAUCGUGUCGCUGAAGUUGAGAGAAGGCGGCUGGGAGGUGAGGGCAGACCGAGUCCACACUCUAACAGAUUCUGCAGACGUGCUCGCCCCGGUAGGCAUCCCGGGAUGCGUGGACCGUCUGUACGCUCUGAUGGAGGACGGUGCCGCCCCGCCCGGCCUCUCCUCCGCGGCAGGGGCGCCGCGGCGCGGGUGGUGGGUGGACAAGGACGACGAAGACGCGGUGUACCUGACGGUGCUGAUGCUGGGGCUCGGGAAGGAGCGCGUGAAGGUGUGGGCGGAGCGGAACAUCCUAGUGAUCAAGGGCGGGGGCGAGAAGGCGCACCGGAAAGGCGACAGCAACCCCGCGUGUCAAGGUACAGUCACCGCAUCGAGAUGCCCGCUGGCGAGUACAAGAUGGACAAGAUCAAGGCCGAGAUGA